UACGAAGGGUGCAAGCGUUACUCGGAAUUACUGGGCGUAAAGGGUGCGUAGGUGGUUUGUUAAGUCUGCUGUGAAAUCCCCGGGCUCAACCUGGGAAUGGCAGUGGAUACUGGCAAGCUAGAGUGCGGUAGAGGGUAGUGGAAUUCCCGGUGUAGCAGUGAGAUGCGUAGAGAUCGGGAGGAACACCAGUGGCGAAGGCGGCUACCUGGACCAGCACUGACACUGAAGCACGAAAGCGUGGGGAGCAAACAGG
rnacentral:rRNA from 1 species